rnacentral:misc_RNA from 1 species
GAUGAAGAACGUAGCGAAAUGCGAUAAGUAAUGUGAAUUGCAGAAUUCAGUGAAUCAUCGAAUCUUUGAACGCACAUUGCGCCCGGCAGCAAUCUGCCGGGCAUGCCUGUCCGAGCGUCAUUUCUUCCCUCGAGCGCGGCUAGCCCUACGGGGCCUGCCGUCGCCCGGUGUUGGGGCUCUACGGGUGGGGCUCGUCCCCCCCGCAGUCCCCGAAAUGUAAUGGCGGUCCAGCCGCGGCGCCCCCUGCGUAGUAGAUCCUACAUCUCGCAUCGGGUCCCGGCGAAGGCCAGCCGUCGAACCUUUUAUUUCAUGGUUUGACCUCGGAUCAGGUAGGGUUACCCGCUGAACUUAAGCAUAUCAAUAAGCGGAGGA